AUAAGCUUGUCCACGGAGUGGCUUCUCCCUGACUUUAAUCGAAUCGAGUGGCAUUAUAAGAGCUUUACGAGGAGAAUUACCGGUGGUUGACUGACUCAACGUCGUCCAUUCGCCUUCAACGAAGAGCCCUUUUCGCCGAGUAAUCCCGUUUAUCAUCGACUGAUAAUACUCACCUUGCACUUAUCUCGGAAGAAAAUCAUUUUUUUCAAAUCAGCGUUUUAUCCAUAUCUCGGCACUUUUUCUUUUUACUUUAUUUCCAACGAAACACAAGAAAAUAAUUCACUAACAUCUACGAUCUAUAUUUUCUAACCUUCUUUUUCACGUACAUCACUCGACACAAGAAAGGAAAAGAAAGAACAAAAAGAAAAUAGGAUCAAUCGAAAAGAGAAUAAGAAUGAAGGGUAGAAUAGAAGGUAAAAUGAUGGGGAAAGAGAGAGAGAGAGAGAGAUAGAGGAAGAAAAGAAAAAAAUAAGGAAAGAGCACGUGGCCGUGUCGAAUUCGCGAUGAGACUUACGGUAUCGUAGAACACACCCGUCGAUCAUUUCGCGCUUUGAGAAGGUCUCACGAACGUUCACGAGUAUAACCGAAUAUUCGCGAGAGUUAUCGAAUUUAACCGAGGAAUAGGUUUCUUCUUCGGUAUCAACAUCAUAUCAACGAAAAUCUCCAACUUUGAAUCUUUUUCUUCUUCGACAACAAUACAUAUACAUAUGAAUAUAAUAGAAAAGAAAAGAAAAGAACAAAGAAAAAAAAAAAAGAAGGCUCUCCCCUCUUUCUUCGAAAGAAAGUAAGAAAGAAAGAAAAAGAAAAACGUCUCCUUUACAAUUUCAACGUCCUUCGUCGUUCAGCUUCGUUAUAAUACUGUCGCAUAAUUACGUCGGUAAUGUAUUCGUUUAAAACGACUAAGGGAUUCGUUUCUUCCUCGAUCGAUGGACGAUGGGCGUAUAUAUGUGUUAUGUAUAUGUAUGAGUGCUGUGUGGAAUCUAGAAACUGUCGCGUCGAGCGCGCGUAAAUAAUGUGAUCGGGAAAUACAAUGUGUCAGUGUCAGUGCGUGCGUGUUUGUUCUUGUCUCUGUGUGUCUACGCGCGCGUAUGUGUGCAUGUGUCAGUACGUAUGUACGAGAGAAAGACAGAGAAAGAGAGAGAGCUUUUCUAUCUUUGUCCCUUGUCUCUCUCUCUCUCACUCUCUCUCUCUCUUUUGUGGAACGAUCGAUAACUUUAUUGUAUAGCCAUUACUUUAUAGGCACUCCUGGUUCUAUAUUUACCAACGUACCUACAUACACGGGAUCGUUGAGUUCAAGUGGCGCAUAUAACUACGUGACCGAUCGAACGAAAAAAAUAAUAAAGUACUAUGUAAAUGUGAUCACCGAGAAGAAAGUCAACGUGUUUUUAUAUUAGAUAGAUUAUGCGUAUAAACUACUAUUCUCUUUUCAGCGAAGCUAUGUUCGAAAGAGGAUUCAUUAGAUUCAAUUGACAAUCUAACAUUUACUUUAAGAAAGAAAAAUUAAGAAAAGAAAAAAGGAAAGGAAAAAGG